AAUUAUACCGUGAAACUGCGAAUGGCUCAUUAAAUCAGUUAUCGUUUAUUUGAUAGUACCUUACUACUUGGAUAACCGUGGUAAUUCUAGAGCUAAUACAUGCUGAAAACCCCGACUUCGGGAGGGGUGUAUUUAUUAGAUAAAAAACCAAUGCCCUUCGGGGCUCUUUGGUGAUUCAUGAUAACUUUUCAGAUCGCAUGGCCUUGCGCCGGCGACGGUUCAUUCAAAUUUCUGCCCUAUCAACUUUCGAUGGUAAGGUAUUGGCUUACCAUGGUUUCAACGGGUAACGGGGAAUUAGGGUUCGAUUCCGGAGAGGGAGCCUGAGAAACGGCUACCACAUCCAAGGAAGGCAGCAGGCGCGCAAAUUACCCAAUCCCGACACGGGGAGGUAGUGACAAUAAAUACCGGUACAGGGCUCUUUUGGGUCUUGUAAUUGGAAUGAGUACAAUUUAAACCUCUUAACGAGGAACAAUUGGAGGGCAAGUCUGGUGCCAGCAGCCGCGGUAAUUCCAGCUCCAAUAGCGUAUAUUAAAGUUGUUGCAGUUAAAAAGCUCGUAGUUGAACCUUGGGCCUGGCUGGCAGGUCCGCCUCACCGCGUGUACUUGUCCGGCCGGGCCUUUCCUUCUGGAGAACCUCAUGCCCUUCACUGGGUGUGCUGGGGAACCAGGACUUUUACUUUGAAAAAAUUAGAGUGUUCAAAGCAGGCCUUUGCUCGAAUACGUUAGCAUGGAAUAAUAGAAUAGGACGUGCGAUCCUAUUUUGUUGGUUUCUAGGACCGCCGUAAUGAUUAAUAGGGACAGUCGGGGGCAUCAGUAUUCAAUUGUCAGAGGUGAAAUUCUUGGAUUUAUUGAAGACUAACUACUGCGAAAGCAUUUGCCAAGGAUGUUUUCAUUAAUCAGUGAACGAAAGUUAGGGGAUCGAAGACGAUCAGAUACCGUCGUAGUCUUAACCGUAAACUAUGCCGACUAGGGAUCGGGCGAUGUUUCUAUCUUGACUCGCUCGGCACCUUACGAGAAAUCAAAGUUUUU
rnacentral:rRNA from 1 species